rnacentral:rRNA from 1 species
GAAAGAUGAAAAGAACUUUGAAAAGAGAGUUAAACAGUACGUGAAAUUGUUGAAAGGGAAACGAUUGAAGUCAGUCGUACCAGCGGGAAAUCAACCUUUCGAGUGGGGUUUUGGAGUUUUGAAGAGUGUCAAAACCUUUGAGAUUUCAAAAUUUUCGCUCUUUUGGUGUACUUUCUCGUGGGUAGGUUAACAUCGAUUUUGAUCAUCAUAAAAAGAUUGGAGGAAUGUAGCUUCGAUCUUGUAUUGAAGUGUUAUA